rnacentral:lncRNA from 1 species
GGCGGAUCUAUAGUGUGUCCAGGGGGGUCAUCCGACCCCCCUCGGAAAAAAAAUUACACUAUAUAUAUAAGAUCAAUUUUUUUGUGUACGUGUAUAUAUUUAAAAUUGAACCCCCUGAGCAUAUGUCAAAGGAGUAGCUCAGUGGUUUAUGGGGGUCAGGAUUCAGCCUAUGUGAGCUUUGGGUCACAGGUUCGAUUCCAGACAAC